GUUAGUCAUGGACCAUUCGUGGCUAAAGUUGGGCUUUAGGUAGCCAGAAUAACAAUUAACGCAGCCAUGAAAACCAAAAGAGAAAAUUGAGCAGGUUGUAUGAAUACCGACCUGUUGUUUUUCUCCUCUCCGGCUCUUCCCAGUUCCCACUUCCACGUAUGACUGAAUCAUAUUAGUUCUUUUUUUGUAAACCAUUGGCUGUACGCCUACAGAAAAUGCUCUUCUCUUGGAGAACGGAACCAGCAAUAGAGGAGUCUGAUCUCUUAUUUGGUGCAGCGGAAGAAGAAUGAAUCACCCAUUCGUUUAUUAAGCGGAGAAAGAUGACGGAUCACGGAUGGACUCAAGAGAGGGAUACUAUGCCCCAACAAGCUCGAUUCUACUCUUCAGGCAUUCGAGCUUCUUUCGAGGUGAUCAGUCGCAUACUCCCAGUUAGGGCAUUGAGGCUACUCCAAGAUGGUAUACGGUAACGGUACCCAUCCUGACAACCCCAAACCACUUGAGCUAAUACUAAAAGGCAAACAGUGUUUCCGCAACCAAGGAGGUUGUGGAAGACUGGAGGCGCAGAAAGCAGAGAAACCAGGUGAAGCUUUCAUGGUACAUGCAAAAUUCCCAGGAACUAAAAUGUUGAACAGACAAAGUAGUUCAACUGGGGGGGGGGGGUCUUGGUCUUGCUGCUUCUUAAGAGACCGGAUUCAUGUAAACUGGGUAUAUGCUGUCAUUCUCAACGUGGCAAAGAAGACAAUGUUGUACCAAUCUUUCUCCAGCUCGGCUAGAUCACAGAUGAAUUAAUGGUUUCUUCGAGUAAAAGCUCUUUAAUUUGACAUGUUCCAAUUCUUUAAGGAGCUACUGAUACUCUUAAAUAAAACCAGUUUAUUUAAUAAAAGAAUUGUCUCCCCUUUUCCCUUUGGGUGGUUGGCAGGAUUUUUAUGUUACUUUACUGAAAGGGAUCCAAUUCAGUGUGGCGGUCCAACCAUGUCUCAAGCCAAAUCAAACAAAUCAUUUUAAUGCUGAA